AGUUUGUACAAUGGCCGCAAGCUUGAUCCAGCCCUGCGGCGAGAGUGAAGAAGGCUUUCGGGUUGUCAAGCUCUUUCGGACGAAAUGAAAUCGCGCAGCCUAAUACUCUGCGCGGAUGACGGCACCGUCAUAAGAACGUCCGGUUAACGUCGUGCCAGCGGCCGCGGUAAUACGUAGGGUUCGAGCGUUAAUCGGAAUUACGGGGCGUAAAGCGUGCGCAGGCAGUGGAUUAAGACAGGGGUGAAAUCCCCGGGGUUAACCUGGGAACUGCGCGUGUGACUGGUCAGCUAGAGAACGGCAGGGAGGGUGGAAUUCCACGUGUAGCAGUGAAAUGCGUAGAGAUGUGGAGGAACACCGAUGGCGAAGGCAGCACCCUGGGCCGAUACUGACGCACAUGCACGAAAGCGUGAAUAGCAAACAGG
rnacentral:rRNA from 1 species